AUGGCCAGGGUUUCCCAAAUAAGGCGGCGAGCGUGCCGUGUUCCGCUGGAACCCCGCUAGGCUGCUCUGGCCCCGGGCCGCGCCGAGGUAACGCCGCGGCCUUUUAAGGAGUCGGCAGCACGAGGGGGUGAUGGACGAUCGCGCUCUUUGGAAGGAGCCUCAGCGGUCUUGUUCCCAGCAGAACAAGAAGAAGACGAAGAGGAAAAAAAAAUCCAACACUUUCAUUUCUUAGAUAAAACAAAAAUCUGACCUUUGAAACUUCAAAGUUGGCAUCCAGGUUUGCCAUAAUGAGUCACACGUCUCUGCUACACUGGAGGAAAAACCGCUGUACUGAAUGCAGUAGGAAAUGCAGGCUGGUGUGUGCACAGCAGGUAACUCAUCAGCUGCAAACCUGACAGGUAGAUGCACCUUUCUACUGAAAGCAGAAGUGCAGUCAGCUGCACAGCUGCCCACUUGCUGGAGUGUGAGAGAAGGUGGGGUUUGCAAAGCUGCAAAGCCAGGUCAGGUUUGAAAUAACUAGAUGCAACUUAGGAGAUGCAUUAAAGGAGAUGCAACUCCUUUAAUGGUGCUAAUAUGUAUAUUUAUUUUAGAAGAGAAAGUUCUUGCAGUGUGGAUCCAAUCUACUCAUUUAUGAGCUCUUGGUUCACAGGCACCUCUGGGAGUUUCUGAAUGUGUUUGUGUCAGUCCAAGAAGGAACAGGCUGUGCUGGGCAGUGCAGAGGGUCUCAGUUGUCUGUGGCACACAUGGUGGGGUCACAGAGCCUGAAUCAAACUGCACUCAAAUUCAAACAAUUGCUUAGGGUAUUAUUCAAACAAAAAAAGUUUGAACUAGGUUUAAGGACUUAAUAAAUUAUGGAUGAGGAUUGAACUGUAUUUGCUGGUAAAUGGAAAAAGAAUGAGAAAUAAAGCUUGUGUUUGUGGAGCCCGCGUUUCUGGUAGGAGGUGAUGGUCAUGUCAGGGCAAGGCUCCGGGUUUGCAGUUGUGAACUUCUGUGGGCGUACUAAUUCCUUCCUUAAUGACACUCUGCAUUUUUAUCACUUCCUUCUUUUACCUGAUAAAUUAGUUCCACUGCUCACUCCCAUAGUGUGUGGACAGUGAUACAGUGAAGCUCAAGGUUGCUCUGAGCAAGCAGGAAACAGAAUGUAGCAGGGUUCCUGUAGUGAUGUGGAGUGGCGGAGGUGCUACAAAGUUUCACGAGUGCUUUGGGCAUAUUUGCAAUUCCCCCCGGACAGCAGGCCAGCUGGAUUCUGGCUAUGUGGGGGGUUGAGCGUGUUGAGUAAGUGCUUUGUUCAGCCAAGCGUCAAGAAAGGGAAAGACUGCAAAUGCCUCUGCUGCGAGUGGUUCAAUCAUGCAGUGCUCGAACUGAGGGAUGUGGCUGCCAUCCUGGCCUGCUGCUGUAGCCUCUUCUGGAACAUAAUUUCCAUGGAAUUCUUUCCCUCUGAAUUGGAGAUUGCUCGUAGCUCAGCAAAACGCCGCUGCCACAUUUGCAGAUGUCCAGUGAUCAUCAAGAUGAUGACUUUUUUUUUCUUGUAAGUCUCCUCCUUGUUCACCUUUAGAAGUCAUAGAUUGAAGAGAAGGGGAUGAGCACAGUGGUCACUGCAGCAGACGUGUUGCAGUUGAGAAAAAAAUGCUGUGAAGUUCAGUUUUGUCAGUUGUUCUCUGAAAGGUGUGGGGGGAAACUAACCCAUGAGACAGCCCAAUGGCUGCAAGAUGCUUUCAGCUCAGUUCCUACUGAUCAUGGCAGGCUGGAAUGUAAGCAACAUCAGCUGCAUGGACUGUGCAUCAGCUGCAUGGUGCUAAAGCAGUAGCUUGUUUAUCCUCCUGGUCUUACUUGUGCGUGGUGUUAAUGAAGUCAGAAAACAACCAGAACUGUAACAUGAAACUUUAAAUGGCUUGCAUGGCUUAUGUGACUUGGUAAUAGUCUUGAAAGAGGUCAAAAUCAAAUGUACAGAGAGAAUCCAGCCUGUUUAUCCCAGUUCUGUUCCCCAAGCAGCAGGUCACUGUGCAGCUUAUUAGUGUCAUGUAGCUGCUCACCUCAGCAAGCUGGGCUUCUUGCAGCUGCUCUCUGCCUGAGGAAUUUUUGCAAGAGGAAGAACAGAAUUGUCAACUUCUGGCCAGGAAUCACAUCAUUAAUCCAAGCAGUCAUGUUCCUGCUUUUAGUGUUCAUACCUUUAGAAGGUGACAGCCAUUAACUUACACUGUGCUUCAUAAGUGUGUUUAUGUUAGGAUUUAUUUGUUUGUUUAAUGAUAUUCUGCUUUGUUGUUUUGUUUUGUUUUGUUUUGUUUUUCCAAAAAAUGCAUGCACCCUACUAGAAAAUUUCCUAGGUUCUCAUCCUUUUUAAAAACAUCUUGGCCUGAUUUGCUGUCAUCUUAGUUUAGCUCCUAACUAGGUGGGGUUCCAAGGAGAAGAUGGAAGUAAUGUCUAAAUGUGGCAAUGAGAGUGGAGAGCUUUGAGCCUUUCACUGAACCCACGAACACACAGUGCAAUGGGCCUCUUGGCUGUAGCACAGCAGGAAUAUUCUAAGUGAAGUUUUUUCUCUACCACAGAGAUUCUUAUGAAAUAAAUUAGCCAUGCUAUGGAAAUAGUACAUAAGCACCCUUCGGAUUAUGAGAAGGCAUUUCAGUUUUACAGUUGUAAUAACAGUACAUCUUCAUGUGAUGUUGCUCAGAUCUGGAUGUCAGACACUUGUGCUUGCUAUGUAGGUAGGGCGGUUCUGCUGCCAGAAAUGAAGCACAGCAUAAACCAAGCAUUAUAAAAGUUAGUCUAGAAAAUGUAACCUAGACUUAUGUACAGAAGUCAAAAUGCACGUUUUCUUCCCCUAAGCAGACGAGAUGUAAAAGUGCUCUUCCUUCUAGAGCUUUGACAUAGAAAGUUCUGGAAAUGAAUGAAUGUGAAUUUAAAGCUUAUCAUCUGUAGCCUUUUAGUAAAUAUGUACCAUAUGCAAUACUGACUUGCUGUGGGUAGUGUGCCAAGCACAGCUCCUAAGGCUGCCUAAAACCACAAAGUGGGUAAUUGCUGUAACAGACCCUCACUGAGCACGUGGUUCUGCACCUGGCCAGCUUAUGGUUUCAAGUCUUGGGGCCUCCCCACUUGCUCUAGGUUAGCAUAUCUAUGCAUUGCUGAAUAAUUGCAUGAAAACUGUAGUUAAUAUGGGUAGUUGUAUGAGGAAUACUGCUUUCAGUGGUUUGGGGUUUUUUGAAGAAGGAGGUGUUUUUGUUUUGGUUUGGUUUUGCAUUGUUCUACAAAGGUCUCUGCUGACUCUUCAGCUGCUGGACAGACUUCUGAAGUGUUCUGUUUAUUUCACAUCAAGAGACAGGAGGCCUUGUGUCUACUGCUGGUCUAAGAGUUUGGCAUCCCUAACCAAAGCAGUAGCUGAGGCGUGGUAUCCCUGUACUUAGCCCAUCCUAUCCCCUUGCUCUCACUUGCUCCGGGAAUCCUAUGGAGCCGGGAAAGGCAGCAGAGUAGAGGGGAGGGAGGGGACACAGGCGCAGCAGUAUGCCCUGUGCCCUGCCCGAGGGACCUCAGUGGGUACUGGCAUCCCCCAGCCAGGGAGCAACACAUUAUUCUGCCAGUGCAUAUAAAUGGUUCUGAGUUUGCCCACUGUGGAAGAACAAGGCUAAAGAAAAGAGAGCAAUGGCAGGAAGGAGAAGAAAACAGCUGAGAUAAAGGCGAAUGAAAUCAGCACUAAAUAAUAAGAGAAGAGGGAGCAAGUGGGGCCUAUGAACAGAGUGCUGUAAUGGGAUUGGAGCUGCAAUUUGAUUUUUGGUAGCAGACUGCAGUUGUGAAGUAAUGCCUGCCUUAGGUCAGCUCGGCUCUGGGAGCAGUGUUUUGUCCAUGGCCUAUGAGCCUGGUGGCACCACAGUUGUCUCUCAAACUGUCCCUGCCUCCUGCUUUAAUGCUGCACACUCACUGGUUUCUUCUCAGUGCCUUCUUUACAUACUCAGCCCUAUUGGAAAUUUUGCUUUUUCUGUGUUAUCCCAGAUUUCCACCAGGUUGGGUAACAGAACAAGGGUUCAGUUUUUUCACUGGAGUGUGUGCAUAUCAUUCACUGCAACUUCUGUGGCUGAGGUGAUUCUAGUCUGGGCAUUUCUGGUGUUUAGCCCUACCCCUGUUCCAGGAAAGUUUGUUUCCUGGUUACUUUGAGUUGACACAGUAUUUAUAUCAGAAUCGGAAAGUCUCCAAGGAGAUUUCAGGCACUUCUUUACGUAAAACAAAUGAACUGCAGACGUUUGAACACAAGAGAUUUUGUUUUCAUGUUCCAGAGUGUGGUUCUUUGUUUCAAGUAAGGUUUCUCUCUCUUUGCCUUAGUCAGCAUACCUCACAUACCUGUCAAAUUUACUGAGAUGUUCUAGAAAAUGUCUUACCUACAUCUCCUGGCUCUCAGUUGUCUGGUGCUGGCAAUAUCUGUAUACAGCUUUGAGUAGGCAGAAGCUGCUACUCAACACCAUCUCAUCAAGGGCCCAAAGUCAUCAGCUUUUACAUCUGAUGGCAUAUUGGGUCUUGAAUUUGUUCUGCUAUAGGGUUUCAUGAGGGCAAUUAUGUUGCUGCAGGCAGAAAUAUGACUAAGCUGCUCUGGUGUAGAACUUUAUGUCCAUUUAUCAGUUAUAUGUAAAAAUAAUUGUAUUCUUCAUUUCCUCUAUGCCAUCCUAGGUGAGAAAGAUGAAGAUAUAGUAGAGAUUACAGUAAAGAAGUAUAGGUAAUUAAGUUGUAAGGGAAAACAUACCCCACUCUAUUGAUGUAAAUUUGGAAUAUUUUGAGCAAAACUGUUCUUCUGGAAAGUUUUGGAUUUGAAUUCUGUUUCUGGUUUGUUAUUAUCAUUGUUUCCUUGUGUAUUUUUGUUUGUUUGUUUAUUUUAUUUUGCCUACUAACUUGAAAUUUAAUUUUUAAUCCCUGAAUGGAUUUAAACUCCUCUGCAAAGCUUUACAAUGCACCUGCUGAGAUGAAGCUGGCACCAAGCCACACAUACUGACCUGACCCUUUCCCAUCCACAUUUAGUCAGGUGAGUAACUUUCCCCACAUAAAGGGUUGAACAAGCCUCCUAGUGUCUGUCUUACACUCAGCUGUUAAUUUGAAGGUGUUAACAUGCACCAUCUGGUCCUGCAAGGAUGGGAUUAGUCAAGCAUAUCAUUACCACUAAUAACUUGUUGAAUGAAAAGUAAAAAUGAAAGCUGAGGAAAUCUGCUAGGGUGUAACUGCUCCUAAAUUAACUUUCCAGCAUUUCUGUCUUAUGGAAUGUCCUAUUUGCCAGGAAACGUGAAGAACCAAUGAACAGAUGACACACAAAAAAGUGUGGGUUUUUUUUUCCUGCUGUCACUGUGGACUGCUCCUUGUUCUCUGUCCCUUGUCUCUGCCAGCCCACAGGACAGAGCUGGCUGUGCAGCUGCAGAAGUCCUUUUCCAGCCAACAUGCCCACAUUGUGACCUUUGCCACAGAACCAAAGUCUCUGUGGAGAGAACAAUCAUCCUUGUUCAUGCUUUUGGAGAUGCUUCUGUCAAAACCGAAUUGCUCAGGUAAGUAAGGAUAUUGAGAAAUUGGGGGAAUAUUUUGUUAUAAUCCUAAUACUCACCUUAAAUACCGUGACAAAAGGUCUUGUGUGUUUUUACACUGAGAUAAUAGAAAUGAGAGAUUCCUGAUUUUCAAUCUUUUUGUGAUGGCUUUCCUCUAUACUAAUUGUCUACUCUGUCCCAAGGGAAGACAUCUUUCAGGAAGGUGGCAUUAACUCACAAGCACCGAUGACAUACUGAUAAUGUUAAAGUGCUACAGGUUCCUGCCAUUGCCAAAUUCCAGCUUUCUUAAUGGCACAGUUAUAUAUUGCAUGGGCAAAAAACGUUUUCCAUCCUUCAGCCAAGAUUUUAAUAAAGAAAUGCUUUUGACAUCUAUAGUCUGCUUUCAGGCAAUCGCUGUUGUGUUUUGAAUGAAGGAGAAGAUGGUGAGUGAGAUUUCAGUGGCUGUUAAAUAGCCUGUGUUCAUUCCUUCCCUUAAAAAUAAUAUUAGAAAUCAGUUUUUAUAUAGUGUUGAGAAGGAGGGAACUGUUGAGCACAGAUUACUUCAAGUAUGAAAUGCCCAUUCUGUUUUAUGUAGUCGGGAAGUAGAGGUACGAGCUGUUGUCCCUCAUUAACAAGAGCCAGAGGGGCUGCGGAGAAACUUAAUGCUCUAGCUAAUUUCUGGAGUAAUAUUCUACAUGCUACUCAUUUUCCAUCCAGCAUGAACAUGUGCAUUCUGACUCUAUUUACAUGAAAGCACAGCAAAGUGUGGAUGACACACCUCCACACCGAGGCCCGGCGCAGGAAGGGGUCUUGCUUUUCAGCCAGAUUCUUUCUAGGUCACCAGUGCUUUGAAUGAAGAUGUCAGAAUCCUGCAUCUGUUCUCCUAUCUUGCCAGAUGUCUGAAGGUGAGAUAAGAGGCUUCAUGCAGCGAAGGAAAAAAAUUUAUCUGUACUGUGGUUUUUUUGUGAGUCAGCUAAAAAAAAAUAAAUAAAUCAGGCCUCCCUUGGAAAACUGAAUGAAAUGAAGAGGUUUCACUUGGCUGGGAUUUACCUAUAUUUAGUAAAGAAUUCAACAAUACACUAGAAAGAAUAUCCUCUGUUUAACUUCUUUUAAACCUUUUCUUUUGCUGACCUGAAAAUAUGAGUGUGCUGCAAAUAUUGCCAAAAUUAUGAUUGUCUUCAAAAUCUUUUGAGAAGAACUGACAGUGGCAGCUAAUAUCUCCAGCAGAAUGUUGUGGUUUGGCUUUGAUUUGUGGUUAGCUGUGGCUAGAGUGGCAGCUGGAGGUACAAUUUGCAGAAGUACUUCCAAAAUCAUGAUUCAUUUCCAGUUGUAGUUGGACAGAUUGAACUGGGUUCAGGCUUGGUUUGAUUCCCUCUUCUAAAAUACCUGUAUCUUGUACUGUUUCUGCAUUUCAAAGGUUCUCUUGUUCUCUCCGCUGUCAUAGUUACGCUAUUGUAAUUCUUUCAUAAAGAAUGGCUCUAGAAGGCCAAUAAAUAAAUAAUUCAUAUAUUCAAUACCCCCUAAAUAUCUGCUUUCUGGAUAGCUUGAAGGCUGUAUGUUAGCAGGAGGCUUGGGUUACUCUGGGACAUUUUUUAACUGACAGUCACACUUUUAAAAUGAAUAAUCGUGUUUGAUCAUAAUAGCAGCCAGUCUGCAAGGACUCAUAAAUUCCACUGAGUUACCAGAGAUAUAGUUUAGUCUCCUUGGAAUCCAUAAUGCAUUUUUAAUCGGACUAUUAUGGUCUAUGGUACCUGCAUAUUCCAUUGAAAGUUUGAAAAACUUUCUAUUAUAAUUCAAUAGAAACCUAAAGAGUCAUAUAUCCUUCUUGGGUUUCUUGAGCUUAUUUUCUUGGCUUGUGGUAACUCCCAGAGAAUGGAGAAAGGGCUUUACUUUUUUGACCUGCUUCUUCAGUCAUUUGCUUUUCCUCACUGAACUUUCCUUUAACAGUAAUAAACUCUUUGUUCCCUCUCUUGCUCUGUAACAAUUUGAAUGCUUGUUGUUUUGAAAGCCUUUUGGGGGGAGUAACACUCCAACCAACACUGGGUGGGUUAACGCAUAAGGUUAUGUCUGCUCGAGAAAGUACUGUGAAUAUUUCUAAAGGAAGGUCAGUAGGUCUGAUAUCCACACUACUCAUUUCAGGGAUUUCUUUUCAAUAGGAUGAAUCUAGUUUAGCUAGUUGGACUGAAUGCCCUGUAGUAGUCAGAACACAUUUCAGGGCAUGAGAGAUUAGGGCAUGUUGUGUGUGCUCUGACAUAUGAACAAAAACAAGGGAGAACAGUCACAAGAUUUACAUGGAAAUGUUAAAAAAACUGUGUAAAAAAUGUUACAAUCCAGCUGUUGUGUAGGUGCACUUACCUGGGAGCACUGCAUGCCCUAAACUGUUUCUGUGGCUAGCUGUGUAGAGAAGAUACAGUAUAUCUGUAUUUCCUCUGAGAUGGUCUUAGGACUGACAGCAAAUUCCUCUCAUUCCCCUCCCACCUAUUCAGGAUGGAUUUCAGCAGUGUUCUCUUACAGCUUUUUUUUUUUUUUUUUUUUUUUUUUAACGCAUUUUUGCCUGUGGAAUUUGAAAGAAAGCUAAAAACCCAGCAUUACUGUUAAUAAGAGUUUCAAAAUCACAAGCUGUCCCUCCUGUGCUUUUGCGGGACAUGGAAUAUUGCAUGAAUCCUUGCUGCACUGGCAUUCCAGCAGCUUUUCUGUGUACAGCUUGUCUUUGCUCAUACUUCUCUGCUUCCUCCAUUUUGUAGUUUAUUUAUCCCUUCUGCAAGGCCCAAAAGGAUCUAUGCUAUGAAUAAUGGCCCAACUUGGUCCUGAUAAUCACUUAUUUGCUUGGAAUGAAAUUAAAACUAUUCAUUAUUUGACACAGGACACUGAACAGCCAUCAGGUCAGGAUGUUGUCAGUGAUGUGGGGUAAGUUACACCUAACAAGGGCAGAAGAAAAUGAUCCUAUAUUAUUCUCUUCAGGUUCUAAAAAUAAUGUUUUUCUUUAGCGACUCUCAGCUGAACAGUACUCCAGAAUUACUAACUAUUUUAUCAAUAUAUAAGGGUGAGCGCAGCCACCAGAGAAGUGUUAUAAAACCAGCUGGGUAGGUACAUAAGCUGAACAACUUGACCGUGGGUAACAGUGGCCCCAUGGCAGGCAGAGCCAGCCAAGGCAGUGACCUAGAAUUUUGUACUCGAGCUACUAAACCACAUAGAAACAAUUUGAUGAGUGUCCUUUCACAAUGGAGAUGCUGGAAAUACAUUCUCUCCCUUGAAAAAAAUGUUCUACGUUUGGGAUGCAGAGUUCUACACUGCCUUUUCCACUGAAACAAGAACAGUAUAUAUUAAAAAAAUAAAAUAAAAUAAAAUCUGAGAAAGCUGGCCAGUUCUGAUUUUUAUGUUUUUGUUCCAUUGAGUUUUGACUAAAAUCUGGACACAUGAAGAAUAUUUCUCCUUCAGGUCACCGAACUGCGGAUCUCUGAGCUGGUUCCUUCCCCUUUUUCUGGGCUGCUGAAGAUGGUGGUGCUCCCUGGGCUGUAAGGAUGACAUCUUCUGAACCAUUCCCUUUAUCCUGUUUUGCAACACAAGUUUAAGGGGAACAGUUUCCUCUGUUUAUUGCGAUUGAAGAGUGGCUGUGUUUAGAAUGAAGGGCAGCACUGGGGAUGUGUGAAAGCCUUUAUUUGUGUUCUUCUUUUCUUUUUGCACUCUUCAGGCAGUGUUGCCAAGUUGCACCUCUCUUAAGUGUGAGAAAGAACAGCACUGCAAAGCAGUGACUUUAAAGAGCCUGGCUGCAUUUUGGCACCUGGUCACUGGAGAUGGAAUGUGUUUAAAACCUUAAGCUCCCUCCAGCUGUCUGUGGUAUACUUGUGGAAAACAACAAUAAUGCUUUUCCUGUUCUUCCUAGAGCCAAAUAUGUCUGUUACAGUCAAGUAACAGAGCAGUGUAAUCUAGUACUGAUAUCCCUUCAAGCUAAACAGGGCACCAUGGGAAGGGAAAGGAAACCAAAAUGUUGGGCUGUGGCUCAGCUUUGCUUGGCCACGCAUGUGCUUGUGGCUUCCCAGCGCCUGCCCAGGCCCUGCUGCUCCAAGGAUAAGACAGUGAUUUACGACAAGCUUUGUACUUUAAACAAUUUUUCAUUUGAAGUUCUGCUCUUACUAUCCAACUUAUCCUCUUACAGCGAUGAAGGUACAGGCUACACAUGAGGGGAGUAUUGUUAUUUCUGCGGGAUAUUAUUUAAAAUAAAUUUUUUUAAAAAGUAAAAAAAGAAAAUCACCCUAGCUUGUGGUGAGAGCUCUGUUUGCAAACCAUUUUCCUACAUUUUACGUGGAAUACCUCCAGCUCCCUCUUUUGCAUUGGUUGUCUGUGACACGUUCCCAGAACUAAUAAGCCCCUCUUUUUUCCAACAAGAUGAAGGCUCCGGGCCUGCUAUAAUUGCUCCCAACAUCCUGACUCUACCUGGAAUGCUUCCAUCUCCUGGAACAAGCCCAGUGUCUGCUCUGCAAACCACAGUGUCCAUAGUUUUGGUUGUUAAAAAUACUAAAGAUAUACUUUCUUAAAUGUACCUGUAUGAGAGUUCAAGUGUUGACAGUUCCUACUAGCAUAUGAAGCACAUUUAUUUGAUUUUGACUUUACGCUUGAUGCCCGUUAACAUUUUAAUUUAAAGAUUUUAUUUUACAAAGUUGAUAAAUCUUUUAUUUAAUGACCUUAAUCCUUGUGUCCUUUGCAUAACAACAUUUUAGGUAUUUAUACUGCAUUUCAGUACAAGACACCACAGAAUGUACUUUUCAUCUUAAUUCCUCCUUGUUUCUCUACUUCUCUUUGGAUGAGUGUUGCUUUGUGUAUUUGCUUGCCCUGACAGAUUUUGUGACGAUGGCAACUUUGAAAUCCCAGGCAAAAAAUGCUAUGUGGCUGAGAGACUUGUAUUAACUUUAUAGGAGAGCAGAACUCCCAGCUCUUUCAACAAGCAGACGUGUGAGAAAAGUGGAUGCGUAUGUUACAGCAGGCAUGAGAUCUGCUGCCCACAGGACACUGAGUGGGGCUGAGGCAGGCUUGGUGUGGUCUUGUGAUGCUGAGGGCAGCUGCUGGUUUCAGUGAAUAAGGAUGGCUCUGGGCACUUUGUCUGUUGAUUUCUUUCUCGUGAAAGUAGCAGGCAGCUCUGAGAGCAUGGUGUCUGGUUCCCACUAGUUGCAGUCUGGAUGUGAACCAGUGACCCGGCUCACAAGUUCAGAGCUGUUAACCCCAUGCAACUCCUUUUACAUUUUAAAAUGGUACAGACCAAAAGCAAACGAAGGACACAAAGCUGAGUAAGUCAUCGCUUAUAUACUCUGCCACUAGAGCAUUGGAUUUGUUUACUUUUCGUAUUUGCUCUUUUGCAUUUAGCUGCUGCUGUGUUGCCAUCAGCUUCUUGAUCAGUGCAGGGACAUCCUGGCCUGCCCAGCACAGCCACUGGGGUAGGAGGGUCUCAGACAUGGUGUGAAGCUCUCUGCCAGGCUGGCCUUGCAGGUUACCUUCUGCUCCUGACUUAAGGAUGAAGUGGGAAUCACUCAACUUUUCCCACUAUUACUGAGUUAUUGUAAUUAGUCAUUGGCAGUUUCUUUGUCCUCAUCCAUUGGGAUGGUGCCUCCCACUCCCUUGCUUUGGCCAAUGGUUACUUAAGGCUCAGUGACUGUUUCUUGCUCUACGUGUGCAGUCAGUUAAUAUCCUGAAACGAUCUUGAUGAUCUGUCAGCAGUUUGUGCAGCUAUUCCUUCUGAGCUUUCACUCAACAUAAAGCAUGAUCUCAGUAUAGUGGCCUGUGGUGAGAUUUUCGUUAAAUUUUAUUUCCAGUAAUUUAGGAUUAGGUUAGAUUCUGUGAAAGAUGAUGUACAAAUUAGACCAAAAAAUCAGUUUCUAAUUUUUGACAGGAAAAGACUACUUUACCACUGACAAUUUUGUUUCAUAUUGUUUUCACUUGACUGUAUCGUCCAAUAUCUGACACAUCAUGUUAGACCUUGAGAUUUAGCUCAUAUUAGCUCCACUUUGAGAAUUUGUCCAAAGCUCCCUGUAUUUAUUCUUAAUCUCUAGGGUUGCACUAGGAAAUUCAUCAUUCAGAUGGCUCUGUUCCUGACCUAUUAUUAUUAUUAUCUGUGUAUCUUGUUUUACCAUUUUGAAAACAGUUUUUGUCUAAAUCUCCUAGUCACAUCCUUCAGUGCUAAGAUAGCCUGAGAUUUUAGCUACAGAUUUCAAGCAUUGCUAUGUGAUUGCAUAGCUGUUGAGAUGAAGGGGGAUUAGUAUAGUUUAGCCUUGAUUGUAUAGGUCAUUGGAAAUCAUGUAUUGGUAGAGUAACAAGCUAUAAGAAUUCAUCCUUUGGUCAAGUCACAAUGCAGCUUAUGUAGACAACAACUCAGCAGUAUUUUUUCCCAUUAGUAAACCACUGACCUUAGGCUCCCUCUAUGGUACCACUCUUCUCAAGUGUGGUAAUGUAAUUCUGUUUGGUACACAGCACCUAUGCAUCCUGUGACUUUAUCAAAUGAAUGCAUAAGCAUCUUUGACUUGGAAUUCUUGGCCACUCAGUUUUCUAAAAGUAUCAGUAGCUUUAUCUGCAAUGGCAAAUAGACAGUGAAUAUCUGUACUUAAAUAGUUGGACCAAAAAAACUGCAUCUAUUUCUGUAAAUCCCUAAAGUGAACUGUGAAAUAGUUGCUACUACUGUGUAAUCCUCUUGUAAUCACCUGUAGUGCUUGCUGAAGAAAUGCAAAUUUUCCAAACUUUAUAAGCAAAAUCAAAACCAGGCUGAGUACAGUUCAAUAGUUGUGAUGUAGAGACCUGAAUUCUGGAGUCAAUGCCAUGUACUGAUGCAUGAUUUCUCCCAAACUGCUGCAUGAAAUGUAUCUGAUUGCAUCUCUGCAGGAUGUUUUAACUACUGUAUGUCAGUAAAACUUGUUGUUUGGAAUGUAUCAAUAGCAACUGUAAUUUUGUUCAUUUGUCAGCAAUAGUCAGGAUUUAGGAACAUUAUCUCCUUUAGACUUGGAUAACAAAUCCAUAGUGAGAGGGCAUUUUUACCUAUCUCAGAAGCUUGUUAUAUCUAGAUUUAUUACUGUCUGCAAAGAAAUGUGAGAUCUUGCAGGAGCACCCUCUAGAAAUCUGAACUUUCUGAAAACAUUUUGGCUAUUUUUCCACUUUUGAAUCAGUGCCCAAACUUUUCCCCCUCUUUUGAGAUGCUGUUUUCAUUGCUGCACCUGCCAGUCUCUUUGUUUUCCCUCAAAAUAAUGUGAUAAACUAAGAAAUCUUAAAGCUUUCAGUUGCUGAAGUAUCUUCUUAGACACGAAACUUUGCAAUGCCUGUUACUGCUUGGGUUAAGAAGGGGGGCAUUGUUGCUUAGAGAGCUCCCAUAAAUACUGUGUUGAAGCAUCUCAUAAAGAAAAAAUGCAUACUGGGAAAUAAUCAACAGUGAUUCAUUGAUUUCU